rnacentral:rRNA from 1 species
GUAUAGGGUGUGAUGCCUGCCCGGUGCUGGAAGGUUAAUUGAUGGUGUAAUCGCAAGAGAAGCACCUGAUCGAAGCCCCAGUAAACGGCGGCCGUAACUAUAACGGUCCUAAGGUAGCGAAAUUCCUUGUCGGGUAAGUUCCGACCUGCACGAAUGGCAUAAUGAUGGCCAGGCUGUCUCCACCCGAGACUCAGUGAAAUUGAAAUCGCCGUGAAGAUGCGGUGUACCCGCGGCUAGACGGAAAGACCCCGUGAACCUUUACUAUAGCUUGACACUGAACAUUGAAUUUUGAUGUGUAGGAUAGGUGGGAGCCUUUGAAGCAGUGACGCCAGUCAUUGUGGAGGCGAGCUUGAAAUACCACCCUUUAACGUUUGAUGUUCUAACGAAGAUGACGAAACGUGGUCUCGGACAGUGUCUGGUGGGUAGUUUGACUGGGGCGGUCUCCUCCCAAAGCGUAACGGAGGAGCACGAAGGUUUGCUAAUCACGGUCGGACAUCGUGAGGUUAGUGCAAUGGUAUAAGCAAGCUUAACUGCGAGACAGACAAGUCGAGCAGGUACGAAAGUAGGUCAUAGUGAUCCGGUGGUUCUGAAUGGAAGGGCCAUCGCUCAACGGAUAAAAGGUACUCCGGGGAUAACAGGCUGAUACCGCCCAAGAGUUCAUAUCGACGGCGGUGUUUGGCACCUCGAUGUCGGCUCAUCACAUCCUGGGGCUGAAGUAGGUCCCAAGGGUAUGGCUGUUCGCCAUUUAAAGUGGUACGCGAGCUGGGUUUAGAACGUCGUGAGACAGUUCGGUCCCUAUCUGCCGUGGGCGU